rnacentral:siRNA from 1 species
UGAGUCCCAAACGUGCGAUCA